AGAAGGUCAUUCAUUUUUUUUUUCAAACCGUUGUUCUUGACAGACACAGCAGAAAUCGAAGAAAGUUGGAACAAUUAGUACGGAGUAACAACUUGGAGCUUUCAGACAUCUUAAAAGCACUUCAAAGAGAUAAUGGAUUACCGUGGACCAGAGGCCAAAUACCGUAAUACCGGCUUAUUCCCUCAUAGAUUUUUGUUAUGUACCUUCGAUACGUCCCCCUCCCGUCCAUUAUAAGCUCUCCGAAGACGCCCCGAUAUUGUAAGAAACCCGUAUUGUUUAUGAAACCAGACUUUUCGUGGUGUAUAUUGAAAUAAUUGUACGUAGUAAAAUACAAAUUAUCAUUAUUUAUUACAUUCAGGACCAGGCACGGCGUAACUGAAUGCGUUGGGAAUUUAAUAUGAGAGAUAUUAAACUUUUAACUCGAUAACACUCCACGGGAAAGCUGGUUUUUAACAUGCCUGAACAUCAAGUGAAUAAAAAUCAUUUUCGUAAUGCUUAUGUUAAUUAGUUUGCUUACGUCAUUGCCUAGGGAAGUCUUAUUUUCGCAGAAAAGAAAUAAAAGAUUGUUUUAACGGCAAUACUAUCUAUCAAUCAGGUGCUUGUGUAAUUCAAAUCUACAGAAAUUGUAUGAUAUCACAACUUUCAUAGGUUUAUGGAAAAGAAUGUUGUGUUGUAUAAAACAGGCUGGGUUUGUCAUCAGGAAAACCCCGAUAUAAUCUUUUAAUGAUUGUUUGCGGGUUCCUGAAGUUUGAAUAGCGAUAGUUUAUUUAUUGGGUUAAAUGGAAUGGCCUUGUUGUUGAACUAUAGCUAGACAUAUAUUAGAGUGGGAUAACGUUUGAAACGUUUUCUGUAUUGGAAAUUGAGAUGGAAAAAGUACGGAAUGUUGAUACAUGUUGUUACGUAACAUGAAUAUUUUUUUUGGUUUGCUUGCACGUUUCUUUUAAAAAAGAAGUUGAUGUAUGUAAAUAUUAUGCUUUCAGACCAUCGUUUUGCUUUGAGGUUCGAUGUAAUGUAAGUUUAUGCUUAUAGUCUCGUUCGAUAGUGCAUGUAUCGCAUCCUGAUAUAUGCACUAUAGAAUAGAAAAUGUUAAUUUCUUGUCAUAAAAGCCUACGGAAGGUGAAGAUACGAAAUGUGUUAAUAGAGAUAGAAUAUAUCAUAAAAUUCAUUUCAAUUUAAUCAGAUGCUUUAUUUUGGGUACAUAAUGUAUAUGUGUAAGUCAGGAAAAAGUAUUUCAAGGACAUUUUAUCGAAUUGUUUGUGAGAUAACGUGUACAUAUCAUUGACAUUCAUGUCUUAGAAUUUGAUGAAAAAAUAGGACAUCAUUCCUCUCUGUCAUGUGUAUGUAUAAACAAAUAAUUGCUAAUUAUUGCAGUAUUUCUAGAUGCAUGAGAAAAACCUAUAACGUUAAUGUUGAGAACUACAUAUAGAAAUGAAAUGGUCCUGUUGCAUUAAAAGAAAAUAGGUGAUAUUCUGAUAUUUCCUUCCCUUUUUUAUGUUAAUUCAUUAUAGGGUGAUCAUUUACCAAAUUGAAAUUCAAAGAAAUCGUUUCACGACAAGAAUCACCUUCAAUACAUAUUUAUGUCAACUGUUUACGUAUAUGGAGUCGAUUUAAAAAUUAGAAAUAACAAUCUGUGCUCAAUUUUGUUUAUCGUAAUCUGGGUAUAUACGAAAUAAUUACGACAUGAGCAGUUGUUAUUGAUAUAGAUUAGACCCAAUUUCCAAUUUUGUUUCAACGAAGACGGCCUACAUUAUCUUUUCGAAUAGCUGAUGACGUAGGAGCCUUCUGCUUUUUCUCUUGUUCAAUAAUAUAUUUAUUACAUGAUGCAAAGCAUUGUCAUAACAGUACUUGGAAGAAACCCACGUGGACUUUACAGAUGUUCUUUUCUCUUGAUAGGGCAACGAGACACGUACAUGUAUAACGUUGUGUUUCCCAGGCCAUCUAACUAUCAUGAUUGAUUUGGCUCUGAUUAGGAUACGUUUGCAUUAGGAAAUUGGCCCCAUUUUUUGUUCAUUAACUGUGGCCUCUGUGUGUUUUGACCAGUCUUGACGUAUACUGAGUCUAUUUAUGGUUCUAUGGAGUGAAUAUCACAGCGCUUUCGUCUUGUUGAUAUUUGAAACGAUGUCUUGUAAAAUAGGUUUCUUCUGCAUUUUGAAAAAUAAAUCACAAUAUUCAA
rnacentral:lncRNA from 1 species